GGGUCUGCCACUUUCUGUGGGUGAAGUCUAUGCUCUUAGACCAGUCCACUCUACAUGCUUGUUUUUUUCUGCAGUUGUAGACACACUUGUUCUAUCUCCAACUAUGUGUUCAUUUUAGCAGAGAGGCUAACAGAAUUUAAAUACUGAGACUGAGAGGUUUAUUACAUCCAGGGCAGCUCUAGGGUCUUUCUCCAGUGCAAACUCUCAUGUGUUUUAUCAAUGCAGGUUCUCUUUGGAAAGUUGUGCCGCACUCUGAGCAGCUGUGGGGUCUCUCCCCUGAAUGAACUCUCAUGUGUUGUCCCAGUUCUCCUUCUCUUUUGAAUGUUUUGCCACAUUCUGAGCAGCUGAAGGGUCUCUCCUCUGAAUGAACGCUCAUGUGUUGUCCCAGUUCUCCUUUAGUUUUGAAUGUUUUACCACAUUCUGAGCAGCUGAAGGGUCUCUCCUCUGAGUGAACUCUCAUGUGUUGUGCCAGGUCGUAUUUAGUUUUGAAUGUUUUGCCACAGUCUGAGCAGCCGAAGGGUCUCUCAUCUGAGUGAACUCUCAUGUGUCUUGCCAGUUCUCUUUCAGUUGUGAAUGUUUUGCCACAGUCCGGGCAGCUGAAGGGUCUCUCCUCUGAAUGAACUCUCAUGUGUUUUGCCAGUUCUCUUUCAGUUUUGAAUGUUUUGCCACAUUCUAAGCAGCUGAAGGGUCUCUCCUCUGAAUGAACUCUCAUGUGUUGUCCCAGUUCUCCUUUAGUUUUGAAUGUUUUGCCACACUCUGAGCAGCUGAAGGGUCUCUCCUCUGAGUGAUAGAGGAUGUGUCUUGCCAGGUCGUAUUUAGUUUUGAAUGUUUUGCCACAGUCUGAGCAGCUGAAAGGUUUCUCAUCUGAGUGAACUGUCAUGUGUCUUGCCAGUUCUCUUUCAGUUUUGAAUGUUUUGCCACAGUCUGGGCAGCUAAAGGGUCUCUCAUCUGAGUGAACUGCCAUGUGUUGUUUCAGGUGAGUUUUAGUUUUGAAUGUUUUGCCACAGUCCGGGCAGCUGAAGGGUCUCUCCUCUGAAUGAACUCCCAUGUGUUGUCCCAGUUCUCCUUUAGUUUUGAAUGUUUUACCACAUUCUGGGCAGCUGAAGAGUUUCUCAUCUGAGUGAACUGUCAUGUGUCUUGCCAGGUCGUAUUUAGUUUUGAAUUUUUUGCCACAGUCUGAGCAGCUGAAGGGUCUCUCCUCUGAGUGAACCCUCAUGUGGCUUGCAAGAAGUUUUUUAGUUUUGAAUGUUUUGCCACAUUCUGAGCAGCUGAAGGGUCUCUCAUCGGAGUGAACCCUCAUGUGGCUUGCCAGGUCUCCUUUAGUUUUGAAUGUUUUGCCACAUUCUGAGCAGCUGAAGGGUCUCUCCUCUGAGUGAACCCUCAUGUGGCUUGCCAGGUCGUAUUUAGUUUUGAAUGUUUUGCCACAUUCUGAGCAGCUAAAGGGUCUCUCAUCUGAGUGAACUGCCAUGUGUUGUUCCAGAUGAGUUUUAGUUUUGAAUGAUUUGCCACAUUCUAAGCAGCUGAAGGGUCUCUCAUCGGAGUGAACUCUCAUGUGGAUUGCUAGUUCUUGUCGUGUUAUGAAUAUUCGACAACACUUUGAGCAAACAUGUGAUUUCUCAAGCCUCUUUAGCAUCUUCUGUCUCACUUUUUUCACAGACAUUAGACUUGACUUUUGUGGUUUUGUAUCCUCCCAAUUCUCAUCACUGCCCUCGGUCUCAGGUUCAGGGGAGUCUUGAGUCUUUCGUUGUAUAUUUAUCCCUGAGUAGUUACUGGCUGGAUCUUGUCCUCCAUAAUUCUGUUCCUUGCAAAUGUUCGGGGGCUCAGUGUAUCCCUGGUCCAGAGUGGGACUCCUCCCCUGCUGCUCAGAGAGAAACUCUUCUUUUUUCACCAAUACCUUCUGGAUAUCUGCAAGGCACAGAAAAACAAUAACUAAACAGAAGUUGAUGAAAACAUCAGGAGAUAUGAAAGCAGAUUUAAAAACUCAAUGAUAGUCUCAAGAAAGAUAAGAGUUAGUGUGGGGAUUAUGGACUAAUGUUGCCCCCUCUAGUGUUGGACUUAAUUAGCUCACCAGCUAUGUAUGUGCUGUCUCGGAGCAGCAGACUACUUGUCAACAGUCCUGCCAAGAACUGAACAAUGUCAGCAGCAUGGAUUUAGUUGAAGAGGCACCACUAAAUCUGUUGUUAUUCUCAAAUCAGUUUCAGCAUUUGUUAUGAUGCUCAUUGAUGUGCUCCUGAAACUUCUCGGGCAAAACUGAAUGGAUGCAGCCUGGUGCAAAAAGCUGCUGCACCAUAGUUCCAGGUAUCCAAUCACAGUGUUGAUAAAACACUUAAUCCAGGUAACCAAGAGCAGCAUUGUGAGAGUUCACACUAAGAGCUCAGAAUUCAGCUCACAUUUAGUUCACAUGGAUCCAAAUCAACUAGGUUGCAGUGAUAGUUUGUGUGUCUGUCAGCAGAGCCUCCCAAACUUCAAUAUCUAAUCCCCUCACUGACAUUUAUUGAACUAAAUUAUUAUUCAAUUGUACAUCACAAUUGGAGACAGACAUGUACUUUGAAAAAACAAGGACAUUUCAGUGUUUUAAACAGUUUUUUUUCUUCCCGCCCCAAUACCCUGCUAUAGUGGGUGAGAUGUUUAUCAAGCCCUCUCAAAUAAAGGGGCUAAGGGUAUAGAAACACUGACGAGACAAACAUGAAAGUUGACUAUUCUAUCUGAAAAAGGUUUACCCCUCUGAAUCAGACAGGAUUUUAGCCUGCUGGGCAGCACAAAAACUAAAAAUGCAGACUGACAAUACAGAUUUACAUUUUCAAGUAGGCCACAGAGAUAAAUCUGGAACAUGUGCUUUUCUUGUGCCUUUUCAGAAUCAUCAUCAAACCAAUGUGUGACUCUUAAACUACAAAUACUUGACACAGUCCAGCAGUUAAUAGGAUAAAACAGUAUAGGAUAGCUGUUGUAUUUGUUGUUGCGGUUGUGUAGUACUUCAGAUAUCCGUAAUAAAAAACUUUUUCCUUGAAAAGAAAAACUUUUUUUGCCUUAAAGUCAUUCCAGGUUUAAUCAUAUUAUUUUGCCAUUUUGUUAAUAUGGUUUGUUGCAGCCUGUGUGUGGCGCUUGCUUCAGUAAAGGCAUUGAAACAUGUAUCCAGAAGUGUAAGGAAAACUGACCUGCUCUGUGCAGCUUGAUUUCGGGUGUUAAAAUCACAGCCAGCAGUUUUUUCUGGCGGCGGAGCUCCUCUUCGUAUCCAGACUCUAUUCUAUUUUCGACUAGGUCCGUCAUUACCGCAGCCAGCAGCCGCCGAUUAAAUAAAUCAUCGAGAUCCUGAAACCCGGACCUUUUCCACAAACGCAAGAGCGAAAGCAGCGAAAACAGAACUUUGUGGUUACCGCGGUACCACGUGGACGACUUCUUCCUCUUGUUUUUCUUUAUGAGCGUUUGGAAACAGAGCUGAAUCCGUUUUGGAGCGGAAAUUUAAACCCCGGUAUCGGAUCACCAGGUUUGAAAAAGUCGCGGUGGAUUUGGCUCCGAUCUUUUGUUUGCAGAAUCUGGAUUUGGUCGAUUAUGGAGGUCGAGCAGUAAUGUGUACUUCUUUAUCUUCCUCUUCUUAGUUAACGGCGGAUGGCAACUAGAAGUACUGAUUACGGUCGACGACCUACAAAGAACUGGCAUGGGGGGAGUAGUGGGACUUCAUACGACGUCAUCUCCGCUUCCGGUUUUACCGAUAGCAGGGUUUUUUGUUUUUUUUUAGUUUUUUUUUAUUGAACAAGACAGCCAGUACAAUCAACGAGAAACACAUUACAACAACAAUGACAAAAACAGAAAACAAAACACAGACAUACAACAGCCAGAGGACUUACAGUUCAAUGGUACAGAAUUUCUUCUUUAUAGAGUAUGUUUUGGUAGCUUUCUUGUUCUUAAUAUCCUUGAUCGUGGCAGCAUAACGGAGCAGUUCAUUUUUGAAGGGUGCAACGUUUGGCUUAGAUUUGGCCCAUUUGUUUUUGUGGAUAUGGAAUUUCCCCAAGCUCAAGAUCAACUG
rnacentral:lncRNA from 1 species